CACUCCAGCCUGGGUGACAGGGCGAGACCCCAUCUCGAAAAAACAAACAAACAAAAAGAGGCUAUAUGCCAAGCAUUAGGCAUAUUUAUAAUAGCAUAUUGAUAAACAACAGCACAAAUAAUAAAAUGAAUAGAUAUUACCAGCUUAAUAUUUGACUUAGCAAGGAAGAGGCCAGGAAUAAUUAGAAGUUUCAGCUCUACAAAGCCAAUUUUGCUUACUCUUGUCUGUAGACAUUGUCUUUUUCCUAAGAAGACUGAGUUUGUUAACUAAGUUUAUUAAUUCUGUUCAUAUCAAUUUUAAAUUUAUCAAAAAGUAGCUACUGGGUCAAAGUCUUGAUAUUGAAAAACUGGAUUAUGAUCUGUUUUCCAAGUUGAUUUUAACUAAGCGAUUUGACUAACUCUUGUCUCCAUCUUCACAGCAAAACAGAGCGUGACACUCCCAAUCAUCUGCAUGCUGGAAAUGAGGAAAUGGUUAUUGAAUGAUACAAGUGCUUUUCGAUCAUUUAGAAAGUUCUGUUUCCCAAGAUCUUUUUUUUUUUUUUUUUUUUUGAGACGGUGUCUUGCUCUGUCACCCAGGCUGGAGUGCAGUGGCGCGAUCUCGGCUCACCACAACCUCCACCUCCUGGGUUCAAGCGAUUCUCCUGCCUCAGCCUCCCGCGUGGCUGAGACUACAGGCAUGGUGGUGCAUCCCUGUAAUCCCAGCUACUCGGCACCUGAGGCACAAGAAUUGCUUGAACCCGGGAGGCAGAGGUUGCGGUGAGCUGAGAUCCUGCCAUUGUACUCCAGCGUGGGCAACAAGAAUGAAACUCUGUCUCAAAAAAAUAAAUAAAUAAAAAUAAGUAUUAACACA
rnacentral:lncRNA from 1 species